AGCGGAGGAAAAGAAACCAACAGGGAUUGCCUCAGUAACGGCGAGUGAAGCGGCAAUAGCUCAAAUUUGAAAUCUGGCCCUUUCAGGGUUCCGAGUUGUAAUUUGUAGAGAGUGUUUCGGGUGAGACCACGGUCUAAGUCCAUUGGAAUAUGGCGUCAUAGAGGGUGAGAAUCCCGUAUGUGACUGUGGCUCGAGCCCAUGUGAAGCCUCUUCGACGAGUCGAGUUGUUUGGGAAUGCAGCUCAAAAUGGGUGGUAAAUUUCAUCUAAAGCUAAAUAUUGGCUGGAGACCGAUAGCGCACAAGUAGAGUGAUCGAAAGAUGAAAAGCACUUUGGAAAGAGAGUCAAACAGUACGUGAAAUUGUUGAAAGGGAAGCGCUUGCAACCAGACCUGCCCGUGGGCGAUCAGCCGCUGUUCUCAGCGGUGCACUCGCUCCGCGAUCAGGCCAGCAUCGGUUUCGGCGGUCGGAUAAAGGCCUUGGGAAUGUAGCUUCCUUUCGGGGGAGUCUUAUAGCCCUCGGUGCAAUGCGGCCAGCCGGGACCGAGGACCGCGCUUCGGCUAGGAUGCUGGCGUAAUGGUUGUCAGCGACCCGUCUUGAAACACGGACCAAGGAGUCUAACAUCUAUGCGAGUGUUUGGGUGUCAAACCCAUACGCGGAAUGAAAGUGAACGGAGGUGAGAACCCUUAAGGGCGCAUCAUCGACCGAUCCAGAUGUCUUCGGAUGGAUUUGAGUAUGAGCAUAGCUGUUGGGACCCGAAAGAUGGUGAACUAUGCCUGAAUAGGGUGAAGCCAGAGGAAACUCUGGUGGAGGCUCGCAGCGGUUCUGACGUGCAAAUCGAUCGUCGAAUUUGGGUAUAGGGG
rnacentral:rRNA from 1 species